rnacentral:lncRNA from 1 species
GGUCUUGAUCUCCUGACCUCAUGAUCCGCCCACCUCAGCCUCCCAAAGUGCUGGGAUUACAGGCAUGAGCCACUGCACCCGGCCAUAAAGUUUGAAAUAUUGCUAAGCACUACCAAAAUAUGACAUAGAGACAUGAAGUGAGCACAAACCAUUGAAAAAAUGUCACCAAUGGAUUUGCUCCAUGCAGGGAUGCCAGAAACCUUCAGUUUGUUAAAAAAAAAAAAAAAAAAAAAAAAAAAGCAGUACCUGCAAAGCACAGUCAAGUGAAGCAUGAUAAAACAAGGUAUUCUUGAACAAUGUAAGAAAAUGAAAUUCCAAGUGAGUCCAUGCUCAAAAAGGAAAACAACAAAGAUACCAGUUGAACCCAUAGCCUUAUAUUAGAAGACAGACAAAGAAAUGAACAUGCUAUAUGUUUUAAGUUCAAACAUUUUGUGGUACAUAUGAUUCAUCUUUUUUAUUUUCUGUUUUAAUCAACUUUUUAAAUGUAACCAACCAAUUCAAAAUAAGAAUGCUUCUAUUGUACAGCAGAGAUAUCACUUCAUAUCAGAAGAGUUUUCGUUUGGAGGGAUUGACAAUAAAUGUGUUCUGUGUAGUGAAGCAUGUUUUUCCAAGGAGUUCUAAUCUAAAUUUGGGAAUAGUUUUAUUUUUUAAAAUGCACCAAUAUAUUGAAUUGAUAACUUGAUAUAUUUGGUCCUAAAGUGUUUUUGUAGCCAGUUCUUAAAAUUUAGUUUCAUCAUCAGAUUUGUUUCUCUCUCUCUCAUUUUAAAAGCUCCUAUUAAUUGUGAUAAAUAUGUUUCUGAAUAUUUAAUAAAGUUAUUUUUCAGUAUGUCA